UGUCACCAGAUGGAGAAUCAUGACACACAGAUGAAAGGACAAAGUUACAGAACAAAGGCUCAUAUUGCAUCUAGCAGAGUUUACUGCUCUAACUUGUCCACCCCAAAUCUCUACACAAUACAUGCAGAGAAAUCAGGUGCUCUUGCACAGAACUCCAUACAAAGCAGCAUCUGCCAAGGGCUUGGAAAAAUUACCAAGAAGGAGAGUGCAGAUACAAUCUCAGGCUAUGAGACCAUAAUGCAAUUUUGCUACAAGGAGAAAACAUUCUUCUUGCCAGCUUCCAUCUGGAAUUCCAGAAUACUUUGACUAGUUCUGAAUCAGGGACUUAAGCAGAGCUUCUCUACAGAAGGACAUUUCUUUGAAAAUAGAAGUCAUCAAGAUCAUGGGUACAUCAAAUUUCCUACAGAAGAGGAAGAAAGUGAAUAUAAAUAUAUGAAAAGUGCAUGUUCGGCAAAGAUCUUUCAAGAAAAUACAGAAGCUAUUUCAGAGUUGAUUAUCUGAGGCAUCAACGACUUUACUGAAAGAAUUCUUUAUUUCUUGAAUGACUUUUAUUUAAGUAAUAAAGAAUAAGAGAAAACUCUGCUCUGUGGAGCAUCUAGAAACACUUGUCAAACUGCUGGUGAUGAGGUAUCCAUCGCCUUUGUUGAGUUCAGGAGUAGGGCAAAGACCCUUGUCCAAACUGCAUUUCUGGGUGUCAGUCAAGGCCACGGCUAGCAUCAUUUCUAAAGUUUGGUUUUCAAAUGACUCAGCAUUUUGGGCCUUCCUUGUUGCAUUCUGUGCAAGAAGGAAAAUUUUCAUAUGGAAAAUAAAUCGGUUUAUAUAGGUUAAUUGAAUUAAUAUAAUGCUAAACCCUAUGGAUUCCUCUGGAAGUUAUCAAGCGCUCCAAAUUAAGCAUAAGUUAAUCAUCUUGCUUAAUUGGGAUCUCAGCAACUCCUUCAUGGUUCUAACAUUUUUGAAAUGUUCUAAGUAAUUUGUGUUUGUGAAUAGAACUAAAGAAUCUUUCCUGACCAAUGGAGUGGAAGUGGAAUAGGCCAAUAACAAAGGAUCUAUUAAAACAUCAUAGGAAAAAGCUCUAUAGUUCAAGUAUUGGCUCAGUUAAUCUCUAUAGAUUUUUUAAUGCUGCUGCUGGAAGGAUGGUGUUUGAGAGGGGGAGAGAAAGAACGUGACUCUCUUUUUUUUAUACUUCAUGGGUCCUUAACCCUUAUUUAAAGACGAUUUUGGAUUUUAGACCAAAUAACUUUUCUUGUAAUUAUAUCAAACAGUUAAAAAAAAAGGCUAGUUAAUGAUGUUCAACAUAAGUAAUCAUGUUAAAUAGUGAAAUUUAAUUUCUUAAAAACUUAAAUCCUCAUAUCUUUUGGAAUGCAUUGUACUGUAGGAUGUCUGAGUAAAUUAAAUUCUCCCCUGCACACUAAAGCAUCAAUUUCCUUAUGGUAAUUAUCUGCUAGAUUGGAUCUGUCAGUAGCAGGGAAGCAUGCCUGACAUUAUACCCUCUUUACAAAAAAUGAUUACAAAAAAUUAAGACGAAUGAGUAAAAUUAAGGUUGCGGCUGGUAAGCCUAUAUAAAGCUCUCAUAGAUCACUUUACAUAAGCUACUAUUGUACUGGAUACUAAGCUUUUAAUGACUAGUUGCAUAAUGAGGUGAAGGCCAUUAAAGAACAGCAGAGGUAACUGAUCACAGAGAUAAGAACUAAAAAUGAUUUUCAGCCAACUAGAAGCAAUUUAUUAUACACAAAAACACAGCUCUAACUGAAAUGUCUGUACAGAUGAAGAACUUUUGAAAGUUGACAGGAUUUCCUUCCUGGGAAAGUUUUACAAAUAUGACAGGAGACCGUCUCUGUCCUAUUAGUCUUUUUCUCCCAGUUGUUCAGUAGUCAAGGCUUGGGGUGGUUUUCUUUUCUUU